rnacentral:tRNA from 1 species
AGGAUUUUAGGUUAUAAAAACUCAAAACCUUCAAAGUUUUACAAAAAAGAAUUUCUUUUAAAUCCUA